rnacentral:rRNA from 1 species
AUGCAAGGAAUGGCACUAUCAAUUCAGCAUUAUGAUCUUCCCAUCAUCGUCCAAUCCGACUCCUCUCAGGCCCUGUCAGCUCUAAUAGGGGAGAGCCUUUCCCGCUCGGCUUAUGGUCACUUAGUAGCUGAGAUUCGUUAUCUCAUGGGUGAAAGAGAGUUUAUUCCUUCGAAAAUUAAAAGAGAGCAGAAUAGGGUAGCAGAUCGUUUGGCUACGUAUAGCCGUACUGAGAGUACUACUGCUGUAUGGCGUGGGCGGGGACCUCCGUGUGUAGAGGAGCUCUUGCCACUUGAUUGUAACCCUAUGUUUAUGGAAUUAAACUCUUUUACCAUCGCAAAAAAAGCAAGAAUCACAUCAUGGCACAAGAGCAUAUGCCAUCCAUGCACCGUACAUAGCGACAUAGAUAGAUAUAUAAACUUGCUCUUUUGUUUGGGUGAGUAA